CUGCUACUGGGCAACAUGAGUUGGAAUUCCUUGCCCUAAGUAUAAGCCACCAGUGUUGGCCACUAUCAUCUGGAGCCAGGGCUCCGGCAGAGUGGAAGAUUUAUUUAAGGGCUGAUGAAGACAGAGACUGGGUCUGAGAGCCCUGGGAUUGUUCUGAUUCCCCUCCAAUUGCUACCACCUAUUGCUUCUACCAAGGUUUCACUCUUCCUCCUUGUCUACUGCAUCACAGAACAGCAGUCUUGGCUUUUCUCCUUUGUUCCCAUAUCUGCUGUAAAGACCAAGCCAGGACCCUAGAUAUGGCUACUGAGUAAAUGGCAUGGAGCAUGAAGAUGCUACCAAAGAAACCAGUACACUGGGCCUGAGAGAACCCCACCAAUAACAGGGGAUGGUUUACUCUCCCCUUCUCUUUUCAGUAUUCUUUUCUCUCUGCUUUAUGAUGUUUUCAUUCAUUCAUAUGUAAUAUAUAAUCUCUAAACCCAACAUUUAUAGGUUUACCAUAUACCAA